GACGAAGGGGGCUAGCGUUGUUCGGAAUCACUGGGCGUAAAGCGCACGUAGGCGGAUUGUUAAGUCAGGGGUGAAAUCCUGGAGCUCAACUCCAGAACUGCCUUUGAUACUGAGAUGCUUGAGUCCGGGAGAGGUGAGUGGAACUGCGAGUGUAGAGGUGAAAUUCGUAGAUAUUCGCAAGAACACCAGUGGCGAAGGCGGCUCACUGGCCCGGUACUGACGCUGAGGUGCGAAAGCGUGGGGAGCAAACAGGG
rnacentral:rRNA from 1 species